AGAGUUUGAUCAUGGCUCAGGAUGAACGCUGGCGGCGUGCCUAACACAUGCAAGUCGAGCGAAGCGAUUGAGAGGAAGUUUUCGGAUGGAAUCUUGAUUGACUGAGCGGCGGACGGGUGAGUAACGCGUGGGUAACCUGCCUCAUACAGGGGGAUAACAGUUAGAAAUGACUGCUAAUACCGCAUAAGCGCACAGUGCCACAUGGCACAGUGUGAAAAACUCCGGUGGUAUGAGAUGGACCCGCGUCUGAUUAGCUAGUUGGUAGGGUAACGGCCUACCAAGGCGACGAUCAGUAGCCGACCUGAGAGGGUGACCGGCCACAUUGGGACUGAGACACGGCCCAAACUCCUACGGGAGGCAGCAGUGGGGAAUAUUGCACAAUGGGCGAAAGCCUGAUGCAGCGACGCCGCGUGAGUGAAGAAGUAUUUCGGUAUGUAAAGCUCUAUCAGCAGGGAAGAAAAUGACGGUACCUGACUAAGAAGCCCCGGCUAACUACGUGCCAGCCGCCGCGGUAAUAC
rnacentral:rRNA from 1 species